rnacentral:lncRNA from 1 species
AGCUGUGGAAGUAUGGAGCUGCAACAAAGUUUCAUCCACAAGAGACACCAGACAUUCCUCGCUACAAAGGCAUCUAUUCCUGUCUAUUCAUGUGCAUAUGUAUUUUUUUCUUUCCCCCAUUUGUUCACAUUAAGAAUUAUCUGAUUGACUGUGUUGGUCUGUGCUGAUUAAAUUUGAUGUGAAAUCAGGUUGAGAAACCAUCUUGUGUGGAUGGCAGCUUUGCUCAUAUUUCCCAAGGGGCCAUGAGCCACAUUGAGAAGCUGCUCAGUUAAUUUGUUAUAAUUGUUUUUAUUCUCAAAAUUAUAGCUCUAACAUUUGCAUAUAACGGAAGUAGUUAUCAUGUUAGUAAUACCUCUAACACUAUAAACCCCACCCCCAAAUUAGCCAGUAAUCCUGUAGGAAGGGACUGAAUGAUCAGAUGUUGAUUCAUAUGAGUAGAAUGUAAAUGUAUCACUGAGCACUGUUUUCUAGUGUAUCAAGUUCUUUUACGCAUCAUCGCUCACUCCGCUAUGCUGUUGUCAUGAUGUGCGUAACAGGGAGUGUGGCUAGUGACGGAGAUAGACCUGGAUGCACUGUAAAGCUCAGUGAAGGUCUCAGAAUUCCCACUCCGGUUGCCUCUUGUAAUGUGGACCUCUUCUCACAUACAUAGGGCUAAUAUAAAGACCUUUUUCUGCACUAUAUGCACACAGGGUAACUAAAACAAAGCAACUUUUAAUACAUU